AACAGUCAAUAAUAAGGGGUGUGACUCCAUAGGUGUGGUCUAGAUAUUGUAUCAAAACUGUAUCGAUACUCUCGAUAUGAGCAUAGAUAUUAUAGACUACGUAACCGGGAUUGGAAACAGAUCACGUGAUCCCAUUCAAAUCAAUGUAACUAUUCAGGUACACAGCCUACCCGCAACCGUCCAAAACCGGAAAGGAUUUGUUUGCAAAGGAUGUGGGCGUUGCUCUUAAAGAUGGCUGCUAAUGAGGGCAAACAAAACUAGCUCCCUUACUUUCUCCUACUGCUCGAAUGGAAGAUAGCACUACUUGUAGGACAAACUUACUAUGUAUUGUUACAUUUAAUAUGGCGUCUUUGAAUGACCUAGUCAACUUGACUGCUUCUUAUCUGCCCUAGAAUGCUUUGGACACUUGUGUUCCUAUUGAAUAUUGAUAAUUUCAAUGUCACUAUACGUGUCACAAUCAGAUUCAGAUGUGGUGUCAGAUGUGGAGCCCUCUUCAAUGACAGUUGUUAUAGUUG